rnacentral:snRNA from 1 species
AUACCUUUCUCGGCCUUUUGGCUAAGAUCAAGUGUAGUAUCUGUUCUUAUCAGUUUGAUAUGUGAGCCAUCGGCCCACUCGAUAUUAAUCUUAUUUUUUAUGGGGAAAGACCCGUCACAAUAGCUUGCUAUUGGGGUCUUUAAGCGUCGCCUUGGUGUUGCACUACUGCCUUGGCCUGGCGCACCCCUC